rnacentral:rRNA from 1 species
CAGUCGGGAAUUUUGCUCAAUGGGGGAAACCCUGAAGCAGCAACGCCGCGUGCGGGAUGAAGGCCUUCGGGUUGUAAACCGCUUUUUUUAGGGACGAUGAUGACGGUACCUGAAGAAUAAGUCACGGCUAACUACGUGCCAGCAGCCGCGGUAAUACGUAGGUGACCAGCGUUGUCCGGAUUUACUGGGCGUAAAGAGCGCGCAGGCGGUCGUUCAAGUCGAGUGUGAAAGCCCCCGGCUCAACUGGGGAGGGUCAUUCGAUACUGAUCGACUUGAAGGCAGGAGAGGGAAGCGGAAUUCCCGGUGUAGUGGUGAAAUGCGUAGAUAUCGGGAGGAACACCAGUGGCGAAGGCGGCUUCCUGGCCUGUUCUUGACGCUGAGGCGCGAAAGCUAGGGGAGCAAACGGGAUUAGAUACCCCGGUAGUCCUAGCCGUAAACGAUGGACACUAGGUGUUGGUGGUAUCAACCCCACCAGUGCCGAAGCUAACGCAUUAAGUGUCCCGCCUGGGGAGUACGGCCGCAAGGCUA